AGAUUCUUUAGGAUUAGCCAAUGAUGUGAUACCAAAUUUUGCUUUUGGUUGCAUCAAUUCCAUCUCUGGUGGGUCAAUCCCUCCUCAAGGGCUGUUGGGUUUGGGUCGUGGACCCUUAUCGUUAAUUUCGCAAACUGAAUCACUCUAUUCGGGUCUAUUUUCAUACUGUUUGCCUAGUUUCAAAUCAUAUUAUUUCUCAGGCUCGCUCAAACUCGGCCCGGCAGGUCAACCCAAAAACAUUAGAACCACCCCACUUUUGCGAAACCCACACCGGCCAUCACUAUACUAUGUGAACCUCACUGGAGUUAGUGUAGGCCAGAUUCGGGUACCAAUUGCCUCGGAGCUCCUAACUUUUGACCCGAACACUGGAGCAGGGACCAUAAUUGACUCUGGCACAGUAAUAACACGAUUCAUCGAACCGAUUUACACAGCAAUCAGAGAUGAGUUCAGAAAACAAGUACAAGGGCCAUUUUCAUCUAUUGGGGCAUUUGAUACGUGCUUUGCAGCAACAAAUGAAGCAGUAGCACCAGCAAUAACACUGCAUUUGACAGGCCUGAACUUGGUAUUGCCAAUGGAGAACAGCUUGAUACACAGCAGUGCAGGUUCGCUAGCAUGCUUGGCUAUGGCUGCAGCUCCAAAUAAUGUGAACUCAGUGCUUAAUGUUAUAGCCAACUUGCAGCAACAGAACCUUAGGAUCUUGUUUGAUGCGCCCAAUUCUCGCUUAGGAAUCGCUCGUGAGCUGUGCAACUAGAUUUUUUUUUUUUUGGGCUCUUGAUUUGUAAUUUGUUGUUGUGUUUGCAAAGUUAUAUGUUUCUAUGUAAUAUAGGUGGUGGAUUUAAUAAAUAGGAAAAGUCCUGUGUUUAUGUUGUCUUGCUAUAGAGAGUAUU
rnacentral:misc_RNA from 1 species